AAAAUGCGGAGCCGGAAAAGGAGGCCCUGGUCAGUUCUGAUAGUACGAGUUUCAAAGAUUAUUCUAAGAGAAAAAAAACUCUCAAAGAUGGAACCUAAGGAGGAUAGGAAAAGCUUUCAGGAAGCAGAUCAACAGACCUGCCUGGCCCAAGCCUUAUUUCUAGAAGAGGCACCAUUUCUGGAGAAGACAGCUUCUGUUGGACUUUGGACUGCAUUGACAAUUAUUCCAAGAUUCUCCAAAAACCAGUGUUAACUCAUGAGAAGAACCCACAUCCCUAUCUUCCCAGCAGAAGCCCCUGGUACUCGUCUGUAGGAGCUGCAACCAUAAUUUUCCUUCAUACCUUCCCUCCCCAGCCCAGUUCCUACAGCUCUGCACCCCACCCUAGAACUCAGAUGGAGGGAAUAUGGAAGUCCUCCUACACUGUAGGUGAGUGUGGUGGAUUGCUCAUCACUGGGACAGAGGACUCUGGAAGCAAAGGAUGUGGGCAUUCCAGUUGGAAUUUGGAAUAAACUUUCCCAUGGAAACAGUGAUGCAGACAGUAUAAGGGUCUCCUGUAA
rnacentral:lncRNA from 1 species